rnacentral:rRNA from 1 species
GACGAACGCUGGCGGCGUGCCUAAUACAUGCAAGUAGAACGCCGAAGAGAAGAGCUUGCUCUUCUUGGAUGAGUUGCGAACGGGUGAGUAACGCGUAGGUAACCUGCCUGGUAGCGGGGGAUAACUAUUGGAAACGAUAGCUAAUACCGCAUAAAAUUGAUUAUUGCAUGAUAAUUAAUUGAAAGAUGCAAUUGCAUCACUACCAGAUGGACCUGCGUUGUAUUAGCUAGUUGGUGAGGUAACGGCUCACCAAGGCGACGAUACAUAGCCGACCUGAGAGGGUGAUCGGCCACACUGGGACUGAGACACGGCCCAGGCUCCUACGGGAGGCAGCAGUAGGGAAUCUUCGGCAAUGGGGGGAACCCUGACCGAGCAACGCCGCGUGAGUGAAGAAGGUUUUCGGAUCGUAAAGCUCUGUUGUAAGAGAAGAACGGGUGUGAGAGUGGAAAGUUCACACUGUGACGGUAUCUUACCAGAAAGGGACGGCUAACUACGUGCCAGCAGCCGCGGUAAUACGUAGGUCCCGAGCGUUGUCCGGAUUUAUUGGGCGUAAAGCGAGCGCAGGCGGUUAGAUAAGUCUGAAGUUAAAGGCUGUGGCUUAACCAUAGUAUGCUUUGGAAACUGUUUAACUUGAGUGCAGAGGGGGAGAGUGGAAUUCCAUGUGUAGCGGUGAAAUGCGUAGAUAUAUGGAGGAACACCGGUGGCGAAAGCGGCUCUCUGGUCUGUAACUGACGCUGAGGCUCGAAAGCGUGGGGAGCAAACAGGAUUAGAUACCCUGGUAGUCCACGCCGUAAACGAUGAGUGCUAGGUGUUAGGCCCUUUCCGGGGCUUAGUGCCGCAGCUAACGCAUUAAGCACUCCGCCUGGGGAGUACGACCGCAAGGUUGAAACUCAAAGGAAUUGACGGGGGCCCGCACAAGCGGUGGAGCAUGUGGUUUAAUUCGAAGCAACGCGAAGAACCUUACCAGGUCUUGACAUCCCUCUGACCGCUCUAGAGAUAGAGUUUUCCUUCGGGACAGAGGUGACAGGUGGUGCAUGGUUGUCGUCAGCUCGUGUCGUGAGAUGUUGGGUUAAGUCCCGCAACGAGCGCAACCCCUAUUGUUAGUUGCCAUCAUUCAGUUGGGCACUCUAGCGAGACUGCCGGUAAUAAACCGGAGGAAGGUGGGGAUGACGCCAAAUCAUCAUGCCCCUUAUGACCUGGGCUACACACGUGCUACAAUGGCUGGUACAACGAGUCGCAAGCCGGUGACGGCAAGCUAAUCUCUGAAAGCCAGUCUCAGUUCGGAUUGUAGGCUGCAACUCGCCUACAUGAAGUCGGAAUCGCUAGUAAUCGCGGAUCAGCACGCCGCGGUGAAUACGUUCCCGGGCCU